AAUCAACGCUGGCGGCGCGCUUAACACAUGCAAGUCGAACGAGAAAGUGGAGCAAUCCAUGAGUAAAGUGGCGCACGGGUGAGUAACACGUGGGUAAUUUACCUCCUUGUGGGGAAUAACCCUGGGAAACCGGGGCUAAUACCGCAUACGUCCGAGAGGAGAAAGCCGAAAGGCGCAGGGAGAGAAGCCCGCGGCCGAUUAGCUAGUUGGUAGGGUAAUGGCCUACCAAGGCGACGAUCGGUAGCCGGCCUGAGAGGGCACACGGCCACACUGGCACUGAAACACGGGCCAGACUCCUACGGGAGGCAGCAGUGGGGAAUCUUGCACAAUGGGGGAAACCCUGAUGCAGCGACGCCGCGUGAACGAUGAAGCCCUUCGGGGUGUAAAGUUCUUUCGACGGGGACGAUAAUGACGGUACCCGGAGAAGAAGCUGCGGCUAACUACGUG
rnacentral:rRNA from 2 species